rnacentral:lncRNA from 1 species
CCCAGAUCCUGACACUGCACAUGCCGAGGCUGAGGUCACCAUCUCCCCCGACUGACCUUUGCCACCACUGGCUUGGUCACCAGGGGCUUCGUGUGUUGUCCUGCGUCUCCUUCAUCAAGGAUAGUUAAUUUAUCACUUCUUUCUGGAAGGAGGCAACUGUAGACUGGAGAAGGACUAGAAAGAGAAGGAAGGGAACCAAAGACUAACUCUACCUGCUCAGACAGUCCUGCCACUCUUCCCUUUCUAGAAGCCAGAAAUGUGGGAAAGUCCCAAGGAAAUGGAAUGAAAGAUUGCCUUUGUCCAGAAGAGAGGCAGGAGAGGAUCUGCUGUUUCACAGCUGCCCGUCCUCCAUGACCUCACCGAUGCUGACUUUCUGACCACCGCAUCUCUCUGAGAGCUGGAGAGAAGGCGGGGAGGAGAACGGUGAACAGUGCCACCUUCACCAUAGAGGGCAGUCAGGGAAGGCGAGG